rnacentral:pre_miRNA from 1 species
CCCGGGGGGGCCAACGGCUGGAGACGCCCUAAGAGCGGUGGACAUGGGAACAUGGAGGAAAGAAAAAAAAGGUCAUCCCUUUAGAAAUAGAGGUUGUGAUUUGUUUCGCAUUUUCCCAAUGCCUCCCAUGACUAUUGUUCUCAGAUGCUCCUUCCUCUUCCUUUCGACU